rnacentral:rRNA from 1 species
UACGUGAGGGGCAAGCGUUGUCCGGAUUUAUUGGGCGUAAAGAGCGUGUAGGCGGCCAGACAGGUCCGUUGUGAAAACUCGAGGCUCAACCUCGAGACGCCGAUGGAAACCGUCUGGCUAGAGUCCGGAAGAGGAGAGUGGAAUUCCUGGUGUAGCGGUGAAAUGCGCAGAUAUCAGGAAGAACACCCGUGGCUAAGGCGGCUCUCUAGUACGGUACUGACGCUGAGACGCGAAAGCGUGGGAGCGAAGCAGG